AUAGUGUAUAUUAAAGUUGUUGCAGUUAAAAAGCUCGUAGUUGAACCUUGGGCCUGGCUGGCCGGUCCGCCUCACCGCGUGCACUGGUCCGGCCGGGCCUUUCCUCCUGGGGAACCGCAUGCCCUUCACUGGGUGUGCUGGGGAACCAGGACUUUUACUGUGAAAAAAUUAGAGUGUUCAAAGCAGGCCUAUGCUCGAAUAUAUUAGCAUGGAAUAAUAGAAUAGGACGUAUGGUUCUAUUUUGUUGGUUUCUAGGACCGUCGUAAUGAUUAAUAGGGACAGUCGGGGGCAUCAGUAUUCAAUUGUCAGAGGUGAAAUUCUUGGAUUUAUUGAAGACUAACUACUG
rnacentral:rRNA from 1 species